rnacentral:rRNA from 1 species
UACGUAGGGGGCAAGCGUUGUCCGGAUUUAUUGGGCGUAAAGAGCGUGUAGGCGGUUCGGUAGGUCCGUUGUGAAAACUCGAGGCUCAACCUCGAGACGCCGAUGGAAACCAUCGAGCUAGAGUCCGGAAGAGGAGAGUGGAAUUCCUGGUGUAGCGGUGAAAUGCGCAGAUAUCAGGAAGAACACCCGUGGCUAAGGCGGGUCUCUGGGCCGGUAUUGACGCUGAGGAGCGAAAGCGUGGGGAGCAAACAGG